UAUAUAGCACAAAGCUACGCGUGCACGUACACGUACGUUGCUGAAAUGCUGGUGAAGUUCGUCAGUACCACAACACUAACCUGGCAUGAUGCUCAAGGCUAUUGUGUCAAUGAGAGUGGUAGACUAAUUGUCUUAGAUACAAUGGAAAAGUACCACGCCAUCAGGUCGGAUCCCCUACUGAACGAACGACGUGAUUGGUGGGUAGGAGCUGAGAUCCAAUCUACAGACCAAUGGACGUGGACGACUGGGCAAACGGUUGAUUCGGGCAUGGAUGUAACUGAAGAUAGUCCUGGUUGUGACUUUCUCGCUUUCUAUGAUGGAGGUUUAACUGACAGUUGUAGCGAAUGGCAAACAGGUUUUAUUUGUGAAAAGUGAAACAUUUUACCGAAACAGUAAAAAAUCACACAUCAAACAGGAAUGUUUUCUAUCAAAGAUUCCAAGAAUAUACCAUGGAAUUCCAACACAGUCGCAAUAAAAUCAGACAAUAUCUAGUUUUUAUGCAAAACAAUUCACCAAGCAUAGUCCAAAGUGAGCAAUAUCGGCUGGAAAAUAAUAUAAGGGCUUUUUUACCUUUCGGUCUCUUGAUUAAAGAAAAAAAAACAACAAAAAAAACGUAAACGUAUGUUUUAAUGAACCUUUGUGUGUCUGUGUGAUUAUCAAUGAGGUUCUUAGUACGAAUUUAAUGAGUGAUUUGUGAUUUAAAAAAAAUCCUUAAUCAAUGAAAUAUUUAUUAAAACAAAUAACAAUCUUUAUUUAUUUCAAAUAAUUGAUCAUAUUUAAAAAAGAAUGAUUAAUAAAGGAUAGGUUAUGUUUUCAUUAGAUUCAGCUCUGUCGAAUACAGAUGGAAUCACCUGAGGAUAAACCUGUAUUCCUAAUAUUUAAGAUUCUAAGAUAAGGUCACCUAAAAUAUUAACAAAUCGUGUCUUUAAUAAAAUAUAACCUCUUCCAGAAAGCAAGAACUUUAACAGUGAGUAUAAGUUGAGAUUGGGAUUAAUUCUGUCAAAAUGGAGAUUUUCUGAGUAUAAUGUUAAAUUUGAUUGCAUUUCAUAAAAAAAUGUUUUGAAGUUUUAGUGCCAAGGCUUGCAGAAAGCUUCCAUGACUAUUUUCGUAAAACAUCAUAUAAAAUGAAAACUCUUUUCAGAUUCUGAGUGUAUUAACACCAUCAAGUUAUUGCCUUUCGCAAUGUGAUAUCCACAACUCGUGUUAUAUAAUCAU